GGGUACAGGGAAGUGCUAAUUCUAUCCAUUCUCUAUACACCGCUUUAUCCUCACUAGGGUCAUGGGGGGUGCUGGAGUCUAUCCCAGCUGACUCAGGCGAAGGCAGGGGACACCUUGGACAGGUCACCAGUCUGUCACAGGGCUGAAAUACUAAUUCUAAGAGUUGAAAUGGUUCCUGCUGAUUUCUGUCAUCUGAAAAUCAGUUUCAGUCCAAGAAUCUACCAGGACUGGUAAAAGGAGUCAUAGUACCAUUGAUCAGGAGGUCUAGAAGGAGUCAUAGUUCCACUAAUCAGGAGGUCUAGAAGGAGUCAUAGUACCACUAAUCAGGAGGUCUAGAAGGAGUCAUAGUACCACUAAUCAGGAGGUCUAGAAGGAGUCAUAGUUCCACUAAUCAGGAGGUCUAGAAGGAGUCAUAGUUCCACUAAUCAGGAGGUCUAGAAGGAGUCAUAGUACCACUAAUUAUGAGGUCUAGAAGGAGUCAUAGCUCCACUAAUCAGGAGGUCUAGAAGGAGUCAUAGUACCACUAAUUAUGAGGUCUAGAAGGAGUCAUAGCUCCACUAAUCAGGAGGUCUAGAAGGAGUCAUAGCUCCACUAAUCAGGAGGUCUAGAAGGAGUC